CGACAACAAAGAAAUGCUGGCCACUGCAAACUCGCACCCGAUAUUAUUUAAAAAAAAAAAAUCACACUGACUGCUCUACUAUUGAAAAACACAGAGUCCUCUGACUCUCCUUUCUCUUUCAUUUCCCUCUGUUAACUCUCAGAUCCUGAAAUUCAAGAUCCAAUCGUCGUGAUGUCCGGGGGGGAGGAGAGAUGGUGCGUGGUGACGGGAGGAAGGGGAUUCGCUGCGCGCCAUUUGGUGGAGAUGCUUAUCAAAUACAAUAUGUUUUCGGUGAGAAUUGCUGAUUUAGGCGCCACCAUUGAACUGGAACCGCACGAGGAGCAGGGAGUCCUUGGCCAGGCUUUGAGUUCUGGCUGUGCUCAGUAUUUCCCUGUUGAUCUUCGACACAAGUUUCAAGUACUUCAAGCAUGUCAAGGAGCUGAGGUGGUGUUCCACAUGGCUGCACCCAAUUCGUCCAUCAACAGUUACCAGCUCCAUCAUUCAGUUAAUGUUGCAGGAACGGCUAAUGUUAUUGAAGCUUGUAUUUUAGGCAAAGUAAAGAGACUUAUUUAUACUAGCUCUGCCAGUGUGGUUUUUGAUGGAAUUCAUGGAAUUAUCAAUGGGAAUGAAUUAUUACCAUAUGCUUCUAAGCACAUUGAUUCUUAUUCAGCUACAAAAGCUGAAGGAGAGAGGUUGGUCAUUAAGGCAAAUGGUGCUAAUGGGCUUCUAACUUGUUGCUUACGCCCCAGCAGCAUUUUUGGUCCUGGUGAUAGGUUGCUGGUUCCCUCUUUGGUUGAUGCUGCAAGGGCUGGAAAGUCUAAGUUCAUAAUUGGUGAUGGCAAUAAUGUUUAUGAUUUCACUUAUGUUGAAAAUGUGGCACAUGCUCAUAUAUGUGCUGAACGAGCUCUAGCUGCAGAAUUGACAGUUGCUGAGAAAGCUGCUGGGCAGACAUAUUUUAUAACCAAUAUGGAGCCAAUCAAGUUUUGGGAAUUUGUCUCACAAAUUCUUGAAGGUCUUGGCUAUAAGAGGCCAAGUAUAAAGAUUCCUGCCCUGGUUAUGAUGCCGAUUGCACACUUGGUAGAGUGUACAUAUAAGCUACUGGGCCCGUAUGGAAUGAAGGUUCCACAGUUAACACCUUCAAGAAUUAGACUUCUCUCUUGCAGCAGAUCUUUUGACUGUUCAAAAGCAAAAGAACGACUUGGCUACACACCUCUUGUCUCACUACAGGAGGGUCUAAGAAAGACAAUUGAAUCUUAUUCAGACUUGAGGGCUGAAAUUCAAUUAAAGAGAGAAGGGCCAUCAAAAGCUUCUAUAUUUCUUGGUAGUGGAAAGGUUGCUGACACACUACUCUGGAAAGAUAAAAAACAGACUCUCACUGCAGUGUUAAUUUUGGUGGCAAUUUACUACAACUUCAUUUUGUCUGGUUCGACCAUCAUUUCUACUCUUUCACAGCUUCUGUUGUUGAUGUUAGUCCUCUUAUUCAUCCACGGAAUGUUACCAGAGAAAAUAUUGGGAUAUACAAUUGAGAAAAUUCCUACAUCACAUUUCCAAUUGUCUGAAGAGAAAUCGCGCCAAGUCACACUGUCUGUGAUCUCAUCAUUGAAUACUGCUGUUGAUGUGUUAAAAUCUCUUUCCAUGGGUAAUGACUGGAUGUUGUUCCUCAAGAUUAUUCUCUCUCUGUUGAUACUAAGCUUCCUUGGGACUAUGCCUUUUCAGAGUGUAUACGCUAUAGGAUUUCCUUUGGCCUUUGUGAUAUUUUAUGUCUACGAGAAAAAGGAGGAAGAAAUUGAUUCCAUGGUUCAGGGCAUUCUCUCCUUCAUGGGCAAAUUGAAAUCUGAUGUUGCAAGAAAACUGCUUACUUCCAUGAAAAAUGACUAAUAAUUGAUGACCAUAAUUUCCUUCCAAAUGAAAAGGUGAUCUCAUCUUCAUUGAUUCCUUAAUUACAGACCUUUAAACUGAUAUGCUAGCACUGCUCUUCCAUAUUUUUUCUUGUACCCACUUUUGUAUUGAAACAUUCUUGUGGAGCCCCCCUGGUAAAGAUACUAUUUAAACUGCUUUUGUUUUGACUUAAUGCCACGCAGUAUGCACCAGGUUUAGAUGCUUCCCUUAUUUGGUCUUUGAGCUAUGCGGUUUCAUUUUUUGGGUUAUGUGUAUAUCAUUUUCCUGCAGUUUUGGCGGAGUAUCUCUGAAUCACAGGAUCAAUUUACCAUUGCUGUCUGCUGGAGGUUUGCUGAAUAAAUCAUGUUAAACUAUUGUAUCAACCCAUAUCAGUAGUAACAUUUUUGUAAUUAGAUAAUUGGGCUAUGAUUAAUUAUCAUGGCUUUUAUUAUGACAA